GAUGAACGCUGGCGGCGUGCCUAAUACAUGCAAGUCGAGCGAACAGACGAGGAGCUUGCUCCUUUGACGUUAGCGGCGGACGGGUGAGUAACACGUGGGUAACCUACCUAUAAGACUGGGAUAACUUCGGGAAACCGGAGCUAAUACCGGAUAAUAUUUCGAACCGCAUGGUUCGAUAGUGAAAGAUGGCCCUGCUAUCACUUAUAGAUGGACCUGCGCCGUAUUAGCUAGUUGGUAAGGUAACGGCUUACCAAGGCAACGAUACGUAGCCGACCUGAGAGGGUGAUCGGCCACACUGGAACUGAGACACGGUCCAGACUCCUACGGGAGGCAGCAGUAGGGAAUCUUCCGCAAUGGGCGAAAGCCUGACGGAGCAACGCCGCGUGAGUGAUGAAGGUCUUCGGAUCGUAAAACUCUGUUAUUAGGGAAGAACAAACGUGUAAGUAACUGUGCACGUCUUGACGGUACCUAAUCAGAAAGCCACGGCUAACUACGUGCCAGCAGCCGCGGUAAUACGUAGGUGGCAAGCGUUAUCCGGAAUUAUUGGGCGUAAAGCGCGCGUAGGCGGUUUUUUAAGUCUGAUGUGAAAGCCCACGGCUCAACCGUGGAGGGUCAUUGGAAACUGGAAAACUUGAGUGCAGAAGAGGAAAGUGGAAUUCCAUGUGUAGCGGUGAAAUGCGCAGAGAUAUGGAGGAACACCAGUGGCGAAGGCGACUUUCUGGUCUGUAACUGACGCUGAUGUGCGAAAGCGUGGGGAUCAAACAGGAUUAGAUACCCUGGUAGUCCACGCCGUAAACGAUGAGUGCUAAGUGUUAGGGGGUUUCCGCCCCUUAGUGCUGCAGCUAACGCAUUAAGCACUCCGCCUGGGGAGUACGACCGCAAGGUUAAAACUCAAAUGAAUUGACGGGGACCCGCACAAGCGGUGGAGCAUGUGGUUUAAUUCGAAGCAACGCGAAGAACCUUACCAAAUCUUGACAUCCUUUGACCCUUCUAGAGAUAGAAGUUUCCCCUUCGGGGGACAAAGUGACAGGUGGUGCAUGGUUGUCGUCAGCUCGUGUCGUGAGAUGUUGGGUUAAGUCCCGCAACGAGCGCAACCCUUAAGCUUAGUUGCCAUCAUUAAGUUGGGCACUCUAAGUUGACUGCCGGUGACAAACCGGAGGAAGGUGGGGAUGACGUCAAAUCAUCAUGCCCCUUAUGAUUUGGGCUACACACGUGCUACAAUGGACAAUACAAAGGGCAGCGAAACCGCGAGGUCAAGCAAAUCCCAUAAAGUUGUUCUCAGUUCGGAUUGUAGUCUGCAACUCGACUACAUGAAGCUGGAAUCGCUAGUAAUCGUAGAUCAGCAUGCUACGGUGAAUACGUUCCCGGGUCU
rnacentral:rRNA from 1 species